AUGAUCUCAUGGAACUCAGGUAAAAUCAUGCAUGUGCAUUUCAUGGUUUUUCACAGAGGAUAGCAGUAUCACUUGCCAUCCUAAAAAUCUGGGUUUCCAGCUUUUUUGAUCUUUUGUUCAGUUGUCUUAUAUUUAAGUUUCUUUACCCUUGUUCCAUAAGAACUAUGUUUGGGUGAGAUCCUCAUUUGAUUUUCAAAUUGACAACUAAGAUAAAAGACAUGCCUUGGUGCUUAAAUUAGUAUAGGGUUUGAUGCCUUUAUCUCAACCCGUGACCCAUGUUUUAGCUUUUAGGCUCUAGUUGUGGUUUGCUGUGUUUGUGAUACACAAACCAAUAUUUGCAGCUGUCUUUUUUUGAUAUCAAAGAAAAAUGGUUUGCUAAACCAUUAUGGUAUUAUACUUUUGGGAAAAAGUUUGCAAAACCUUUGUCUCUUGUUUUUAAAUCAAACAUUGUUUAGGAUAGUUUUAUUUGUCUUUUCUCUUGGCCAUGGACAGCUGCAUAUGUCCUCUCACUUUCUGAGUUUGGCCAAGGACAAAAGUCCAAAAAGCCUUUCCUUGCUUUGGCCCUCGUGCUUGCCCUCUGGUGGCACCUCUUUGGCUUGUGUCUCUCUCUUGUUAGAGCACUCCAUCAGCCUAUAUAUAUUGAGCAAGGCUGCUUUUGCUCAAUGGUUGUCAAAAUGUAGUUUUUACAUUUGCAUUGUUGGGUUUUGGUUUUCCUUUGCUUUGUUCAUUAGUCUCUAAGUCUUCAUUUUGUGAUUAUAAACCUUAGAGCUGAACAAAACCUUCUCUCACAAAGUCAUUGUAUUAUUGUUGGGUUUUGGUUUUUCAUUUGCAUUGUUCAUUAGUCUCUAAGUCUUCCUCUUGUGAUUAUAAACCUUAGAGCUGAACAAACCCUCUUCUCACAAACUCAUUGCAUUCUGCAUACCAUGAGAUUAGUUGGUAGUGCAGCAACCCCGGAAUGUUCAUGAAAGAACAGACUGAGGAUAGCUGAGUUCUGAUGUAUCCGCUGAGGUAGCUGGGUUCAUGAAAGAAUUAGUUUAUGAUAGCUGAGUCUCUGAGAGUGAAACUUCUGAGAAGCGUUCAAGGUUGAAUCUGCUAGUGGUUAGCUGGAUUCACGAACAAGGCUUCUAAAAAUGUUCCAUGUUGUAAGAGCUUAGAAACAAGAGAGGGAAUAGGUCUAGACUAGUUUGGGACUAGGAAGGAUAGCACUGUAGUAGUGUAUCACUAGAACUAUUAUUCUUGUAAGAAGUUACUUCAACUUAGUGGAAAGUUUUGUCUCUCAAGAGUUAGAGACACGCAGUUUUUCUCUCUGGUUGUAGGGUUUCUGCGAGUAAAAAACAUCUUGGUGUUCAUUGUUAUUUUACUGCAACUUUUAUUUAUUGUCACUGUGUAUUUGUUAUUUAGGAUAGCUAUAACCCUUGUUAUCCCUGAGAACGAAUUUAUACGAAAAAAGUUGUUAAUGGCCUAUUCACCCCCCC
rnacentral:lncRNA from 1 species